AACAGAGCCAAGCUGGAAUUUAGUACCUGUUUCCUCUGCUUUUAAGUUUUAACGACAAGAUGUCCAAGUCCUGAAGCUAAUCAUAUUAAACUAAAAAGAACAACAGAUAGAUAGAUUUGUUGGACAAAGUUGAUCGCUUUUACAGAUAGAUUUGUUGGACAAAGUUGAUCGCUGGCCACAACAACCAGACAUGUCUUCUCCUCCUAAUGAGAAGUUUGUACUCACAUUUUUUCUUCCUAUUUUAUUAUGCUUUAUUUCCUGGUUCAGGUGCUCGGUAAUCUCAAUAUUUUGCUUGCUCUCAUGACAGCUGUUUGUUACCAGGUUAUAUUCUCAACUAUUCAUGCUUGUGGCUUGAACCUCCAUUUUCUGACCAUUUUCCCAUUAACUGUAAAAAAAUAUCUUAAUAUUUCUCUUGGACUCUGCCUGUUAACUUCCAUUUUUAUCGCCGUGGCAUUGCUUAUAAAUCAUCAGGGCCAACUAUUAUAUAGUUUUGGGUGAUAUAUUCUCACUAUUGCAGGAACUCCUUAUAGUCAGCAAUCAUGCAAGGUUGUAGAGUUGGAUUUCUUGUACCCAAGCAAAGACAUCCAACAAGACAUGUUAUUAAUUAUGCAAUUUAAAUUUGCAGACAUACGUGAACAUUCAUAGCUAUUCGGGGGAAAGCAUUAGUUUUGUGUUGAUGAUAGUGCUUUUGGAACAUGUGUUUUUUUAUAAUCUGUAAUUUAUCCGUGGCGUUAGCACGGGCACCUUACUAGUC